CGGGGUGUAGCGCAGCCUGGCAGCGCGUUUGACUGGGGGUCAAAAGGUCCUGGGUUCAAAUCCCAGCACCCCGA
rnacentral:tRNA from 2 species